AAUGGUUGACCAGUGGCUGAAC
rnacentral:miRNA from 1 species